AGAGUUUGAUCCUGGCUCAGGACGAACGCUGGCGGUAUGCUUAACACAUGCAAGUCGAACGAGACGAGAUGGAAGGAUCCUUCGGGAGAAUGAAAUCUUAGAAAGUGGCGAACGGGUGAGUAAUGCGUGGGUAACCUGCCCUAUGGAAAGGAAUAGCCUCGGGAAACUGGGAGUAAUGCCUUAUAAGAUACGUUUGUCGCAUGGCAGAUGUAUUAAACGCUCCGGUGCCAUAGGAUGGACCCGCGUCCCAUUAGCUAGUUGGUGAGAUAACAGCUCACCAAGGCGACGAUGGGUAACCGGUCUGAGAGGGCGAACGGUCACACUGGAACUGAGACACGGUCCAGACUCCUACGGGAGGCAGCAGUGGGGAAUAUUCCGCAAUGGACGAAAGUCUGACGGAGCAAUGCCGCGUGAGUGAUGAAGGCCUUUGGGUCGUAAAACUCUGUCUUCGGGGAUGAAACCAUUAUGUGAUAAUACCACAUAGUAUUGACAGUACCCGAGGAGGAAGCCCCGGCUAACUACGUGCCAGCAGCCGCGGUAAUA
rnacentral:rRNA from 1 species